rnacentral:lncRNA from 1 species
UUAAAGUCGGUUUAAAAAAAAACAUAUAUGGUUUCCUCAUUUUUGUAAUUUAAAGUCAUUUAAAAAAAAUUCAAAAUAUAACAUAUAAGAAAAAAUCUAAUUUUUGAGAAUUUUAUCUAAAGUAUACAACCUAUUGAUCGAAAAAUCUAAAACAAUACUCAUAUAUCAACAAAAAUUCUUGUUAUCCUAAUUUCUAAAUCAAAACCCCAAAUCCACACUAUUAUUAUUCACAAAAAUGAAAAAUUUCCAAAAAUAGAAUUUUUGAGAAUUUUAUCUAAAAUAUACAACUUAUUGAUCAAAACUUUUAAAAGAAAACUCAUCUAUCAACAAAAAUUCUUGUUAUCCUAAAUUCUAAAUCACAACCCCAAAUCUACAAUAUUUCGCUAUAAAAAUGAAAACUUUUCAAAAAUAAAAUUUUUGAGAAUUUUAUCUAAAAUAUACAACCUAUUGAUCAAAAAAUCUAAAAAAGUACUCAUCUAUCAACAAAAAAUAUUGUUAUCCUAAUUUCUAAAUCACAACCCCAAAUCUACAAUAUUUCGCUAUAAAAAUGAAAACUUUUCAAAAAUAAAAUUUUUGAGAAUUUUAUCUAAAAUAUACAACUUAUUGAUCAAAACUUUUAAAAGAAAACUCAUCUAUCAACAAAAAUUCUUGUUAUCCUAAAUUCUAAAUCACAACCCCAAAUCUACAAUAUUUCUCUAUAAAAAUGAAAACUUUGUAAAAAUAGAAUUUUUGAAAAUUUUAUCUAAAAUAUACAACCUAUUGAUCAAAAAAUCUAAAAAAGUACUCAUCUAUCAACAAAAAAUAUUGUUAUCCUAAUUUCUAAAUCACAACCCCAAAUCUACAAUAUUUGUAUAGAAAAUGAAAACUUUCCUAAAAUAGAACUUUUGGGAAUUAUAUUCCAAAAAUACAACAAUUGAUCAAAAAAUCUUAAAGAAUACUCAUCUAACAACAAACAAUUCUUGUUAUCCUAAUUUCUAAAUCAAAACCCCAAAUCCACACUAUUAUUCACAAAAAUGAAAACUUUCCAAAAAGAGAACUUUUGAGAAUUGUAUCUAAAAUAUACAACGUAUUGAUCAAAACUUUUAAAAGAAUACUCAUCUAUCAACAAAAAAUUCUAGUUAUCCUAAAUUCUAAACCACAACCCCAAAUCUACAAUAUUUCGCUAUAAAAAUGAAAACUUUCCAAAAAUAAAAUUUUCUAAAAUAUACAACCUAUUGAUCAAAAAAUCUAAAAAAGUACUCAUCUAUCAACAAAAAAUAUUGUUAUCCUAAUUUCUAAAUCACAACCCCAAAUCUACAAUAUUUGUAUAGAAAAUGAAAACUUUCCUAAAAUAAAACUUUUGAGAAUUAUAUUCAAAAAAUACAACAAUUGAUCAAAAAUCUAAAAGAAUACUCAUCUAACAACAAACAAUUCUUGUUAUCCUAAUUUCUAAAUCACAACCCCAAAUCUACAAUAUUUCUCUAUAAAAAUGAAAACUUUCCAAAAAUAAAACUUUUGAGAAUUUUAUCUAAAAUAUACAACGUAUUGAUCAAAACUUUUAAAAGAAUACUCAUCUAUCAACAAAAAUUAUUGUUAUCCUAAUUUCAAAAUCACAACUUCAAAUCUAUAACAUUUCUACAAAAAAAUGAAAACUUUCCUAAAAUAGAAUUUUUGAGAAUAAUAUCUUAAAAAUACAACUUAUUGAUCAAAAAUCCUUAAAGAAUACUUAUAUAUCAACAAAAAUUCUUGUUAUCCAAAAUUCUAAAUCACAACCCCAAAUCUACAAUAUUUCUCUAUAAAAUGAAAACUUUCCAAAAAUAGAAUUUUUGAGAAUUUUCUCUAAAAUAUACAACCUAUUGAUCAAAACUUUUAAAAGAAUACUCAUCUAUCAACAAAAAUUAUUGUUAUCCUAAUUUCAAAAUCACAACUUCAAAUCUAUAACAUUUCUACAAAAAAAUGAAAACUUUCCUAAAAUAGAAUUUUUGAGAAUAAUAUCUUAAAAAUACAACUUAUUGAUCAAAAAUCCUUAAAGAAUACUUAUAUAUCAACAAAAAUUCUUGUUAUCCAAAAUUCUAAAUCACAACCCCAAAUCUACAAUAUUUCUCUAUAAAAUGAAAACUUUCCAAAAAUAGAAUUUUUAAAUGUGAUAUUUUGCUUGUACUUUAAUAACUAAGUAUGUAUUACUACUUAUAAUUUUAUAUUUUAGUGUAAGAUUUUAUUAAUAAUAUUACUGUAAUAUUUUUAUAUAUGUGCUAAUCAUUUAUAAAACUUUAAUGGAUUUAUAUUAAUUAUGACAAAUAUAAGGAUCUUAGUGUAAAUCACAAAUAAUUUUCAAGUUAAAUUUGAAGUUUUGUUUUUAGAUAAGAACACCUUGAAACUUCAAAUAUAAAGUUUUACAAACUCUAAAAUAGAAAGUCUUUUUUAGAGCAUCUCUAAAAGCACUCUCUCUAUUUUGAAGUUUGCAAAAUUCUAUAUUUGAAGUUUCAAGAGUUCUUCUCAAAAACCAAAACUUCGAACUUAACUUCAAUUU